GUUAGGUGGGGUCAGUAUCCUUAAAUCGCCUCUCUUUUGAGUAGAGUUUACAGUUCAUAUAAUAGCAGAUCAGCAGGCUGUAGGUAAAAUAACGCUCAGAGGAAGAGUAUUAUGAGCUCCAAGCUUGCAAGUGCAGUUAUAAAAAAAAAAAAGUCAUCUGUUUAAACUUUAAUCCCCACCUUUGCUGGAAUUAAGGAGACAAGGAUGAACUUUUAGCUGCUCUUGCAUUUGAUAUGGCUGAGUGCAGGGCUGUAAAUUAGAAAAUAACAAAUAUUGCUGCUAGGUAGCAUUUGCAGCCCCCUGGGGCCUUCCUGGGGCUUUAUUGACCACUGCACAGGACUAUGUGCAAGGCAGCUCGGCCUGGACACCAGUAAAGGGGAGAGAUUUGCACAAGUGCCCAGAGGACUUUGCAAGGAGGCCUUCUCAUCUCUAGGUAGUGCCAAGCAUGGGUAACCAAGAGGGUAUUUUAUGAGCCUCCAGUGUCUACUUCAGUGUGGCUAAAGGUGCUCUUAAUUAGUUUUCUAUUCAGAGGCAUUAAAUUAACUUUACUUAAAAAUAUUGCUUACUUCAUUCAAUGAAGGAAAAUUGGAUUUAGAUUUAGAAUCUCUGUACAGAUGCAAAAUUAGCUGUAAAAUCUCACAUUUUUACCACAGCAUAUGGGCAAAGCAAAAAUGCAAAUGACUUUGCAGUUCUUGAUUUGAAUAUAAGUACUAUUGUGUCUGACACCAACAUACUUUUCCACUUUUUCAGUUCGAAGUUGAGGAGACAGAUGGGAGAGGUAAGGAAAUUAGAGUCAGAAUUGGCCUCCUCUAGGUCGUUAGUCCCCUCAGGUGGGAAUGCAUCUCAUUUAGGAUGGGCCAGUGUCAGAGCCAAGCAGAUCAAGGUCUUGCUUUUUCAGUCAAAUACAUGAAGAGAGAGAAAGAUCACUGAGCAGGGAGGCCUGAGACUUUGAUAAGCCCUUUCUCAUGGGUGAGCCUAAAAAAUAAAGGAUCUUGAGCCUAGAUCAUGUCUAAAUCUCCUUCCAAGUCUAAAUCAUGCUUAUAAAUGACCAUUUUCUGUAUUAUUUCUUAUUACCCUAAAAUUUAGGGAAAAAUUUAUCUCACAAAACUCUGCACAGAAUCCAAACAUAAUAAACUCUUAUUUAUCUAAAAUCUAAAUACCUUGGAAGUUCAAAUAAUCAGAACAGUUUUUGUGAAACCAGAUAAUGUUCACAAUAAUGGUUGCUAUGUUGUACAAUGUACUAAAUUAGCUUCAGAAUCAUAAAGAAAAGAUUAAUUGCUGUUCAGUUUGGUUUUAUAAAGAGUGUUCUAAUUCUCUUCCAGGGAAAUUCUCAGGAAUGAGAAACAAAUCAGAGCAGGUCAGAAAAGAUUAAACAGCCUCCAUUAUUCCACCAGAUUCUGUCACCCUCAACAGAGAGGUUGUGGCUGGCAUUGAUUUUUUUUUCUGAUAAAUCAGAAUAUUGUCAGGCCAGGAACAAGAAGAAAAGAGUCACUGACAGCUUUAUUUCUUGGGAUCUUGAAGGACUGACCCAACUUAGAGAUUACACAGCUAUCCAGUAAAGACACUCAGAGCGUACCACAGGCUAAGCGCUCAGCAGACACUGAGUACGUGCUGAUGGAGAAAAUGGCAGAGACAAAGACCAGAGUAAUGUUGGAAAGACACAUGUUGAGGACAAGAGAGUGACAUCAUCCUGAGUUUCUAUGUGACUGUACAGAACAAAGACAACUCUCUGCCGCCUCCCCCAGUCCCCAGCCUGGAACUUAUUCCCUGGACGGCAGUAGGAGAAAUAAACCUUGACUACAUUUAAGCUAAAGUAUUUUGGGUCCAUUUCUUAUAGGGUUUUAGCUUAAUCUAAUUAAUACAUAGUUGAAAACCAAUAUAUUGUAUAGAAGAAUUUGAAUUGUAUUAGAGUUCCUAGAUGCGAUAAAACCUAAUCUGGGUGUUAAUUAGUAACAAUUGCAAAUAAUUUAGAGAUUUAAUGUGCCAGGAACUGUGCCAAGAAACAACAUGUACUAUCUAAUUGUCACAAUAGCCCUUUACAUUAUGUGUUAUUGAACCUUAACUUUGCCCGUGAAUUAAGUUUAGAACAGCCAUGUAUACAGCUACAAUGGAUGGUAGGCCCAUAAUCUGAACACAUCUACCUCUGCCUAUGAAGUCGGUGUAUGCUGGUGGGGGCUAGUGUAAAGGAAAGGCAUGUAGGUGUGUGUUAUGGGGCAGGUUGGGGCUGGGUGUGACAAUAGCUGUAGGACUUGUCCUUUCCAGUAAUAUUCUUAUAGAAAAAGAGUUCCCUUUGCUCUCCUGUUCUUCAAGCCAGUCUUGACUUCUGAAAUCUGAACUGCUCUUUUUUCCAUCAAUGCUAUGGCAAUGGGAGAACCCAGAAUAAAUUAUCUAGGUAUUUAGAGCUGAAAAAGGAGCCAAAAACCUAGCCCUCACCAACCAGCAUGCCCACUCCCAAACAGGAGCCCAGACAAUCUGAGGGACCACUAAAUAGAGAGCAUAGGGCAAUUAAAUGGAUGACCCUUCCUUUGGAGAAGGAACCCCAGAAGGAUCACAGGCUGAGAGGCAGAAAUUUGGGCCACAGAACAGAAGAAGAAGCCCAGUCAAAGGCAAAUAAAUAACCAUUGUUCAAGAUUACCAACUGCUAGCAUUGAUAAUCAAGAGGUAACUGUAAGUCUUCCUUUUUUUUGCAUCCAGAUGGUCCAGGAGGAAGUCAAAGCAAAUAAAUACAUAUACGCCUGGGUAUGUCUAAAUACAUUUAUUUCCAAGAACUACUAGGUGUUGAGAAACCAUGCAGAGUUUUGAAUAGAGGAGGUGGACAUCAACUGCAGGUAUGGACAGUAUUUCCAGUGUUGUCUUUGAGCUAACAUGUUUAAAGUGUUAGAACUGGUCUUUUUAUUUUUAAUGGAGGACAUUUAUAAGUCAUUUCUAUUGCAAAUGGUUCAGUGGCUCAGACUGACAUUCAAUAGCUAAAUAGAGCCUUCUGCUUAGCCAGCUGUACUCCAAGACACCCCCACUUGAAGCCCUUCUCAGAAGCCUGCAGUUCUCCUUAACCAGCAGUGACAGUCAGAAACCAAAGAGGUUAAGGCCCCUCAAACUGCAAGCACCAAAUGCUUUCACUUCGGAAGCAUAACAGCAACAGAAACAGUGGGUGUCCUAAGUGCUGUUUGCCAAAAAUGCUUGUUCCUGCCUUCCAGGCGUGUGAUGGGUGGCACUUCCUGGCCCCUGGGUGGCUAAGUGUGGCUGUGUAACUCAUUCUGGCCAGUGAGGUAGGCGCACAGGUGAUAGUGCUGCCUUCAGUCUGGAGCAUUUAACUGCUGGGGCAGGACUCUCCAGACUUCUCGUUCCUCUGUCAGAGCAAGUGGCAAGUUUGAGUCAGUGAUUACUCCAUGAGAGACAUGCACCUUGAGCAAUAAAUAGCUUUUAAUUAUUUCACACUGCUGGGAUUUUGUAGUUAUUUCUUACUCUUACAGUUAUUUUUGCAGUAUGAGCUCACUUUUCCUGAUAGGUAACCAUAAUUAAAUCACAUUAAGUGCUUACCCACACCUAACUGUAACCAGAACCCUAACUCUAAUCCUAACUGUAACACUGAACCCUAAACCUGACUCUAAUUGUAACUGACAUUCAAUAGCUAAAUAUUGUUACCCUAAACAUAAUGCUAACCUUAACCAUAACUCUAACCUUAAAGGUCACCCAUAACCUGGGGCCCAAACCAGAAAUCCUGAUCCUGAAGCCCCAAAAUCC